CAACUGUGUGACACCGCGCUC
rnacentral:siRNA from 1 species